GACGAACGCUGGCGGCGUGCUUAACACAUGCAAGUCGAACGGUAAGGCCCUUCGGGGUACACGAGUGGCGAACGGGUGAGUAACACGUGGGUGAUCUGCCCUGCACUUCGGGAUAAGCCUGGGAAACUGGGUCUAAUACCGGAUAGGACCACUGCCUGCAUGGGUGGUGGUGGAAAGCUUUUGCGGUGUGGGAUGGGCCCGCGGCCUAUCAGCGUGGUGGUGGGGUGAUGGCCUACCCAGGGGACGACGGGGAGCCGGCCUGAGAGGGUGACCGGCCACACUGGGACUGAGAUACGGCCCAGACGCCUACGGGAGGCAGCGGUGGGGAAUAUUGCACAAGGGGCGCAAGCCUGAUGCAGCGACGCCGCGUGAGGGGUGACGGCCUUCGGGUUGUAAACCUCUUUCAGCACCGACGAAGCGCAAGUGACGGUAGGUGCAGAAGAAGGACCGGCCAACUACGUGCCAGCCGCCGCCGUAA
rnacentral:rRNA from 1 species